CCAGACUCCUACGGGAGGCAGCAGUGGGGGAUAUUGCACAAUGGGGGAAACCCUGAUGCAGCGAUGCCGCGUGAGUGAAGACGGCCUUCGGGUUGUAAAGCUCUGUCGCAGAGGACGAAAAUGACGGUACUCUGCAAGAAAGCUCCGGCUAACUACGUGCCAGCAGCCGCGGUAAUACGUAGGUGGCAAGCGUUAUCCGGAUUUACUGGGUGUAAAGGGCGUGUAGGCGGGGACGCAAGUCAGAUGUGAAAACCACGGGCUCAACCUGUGGCCUGCAUUUGAAACUGUGUUUCUUGAGUACUGGAGAGGCAGACGGAAUUCCUAGUGUAGCGGUGAAAUGCGUAGAUAUUAGGAGGAACACCAGUGGCGAAGGCGGUCUGCUGGACAGCAACUGACGCUGAGGCGCGAAAGCGUGGGGAGCAAACAGGAUUAGAUACCCCAGUACA
rnacentral:rRNA from 1 species